AAUUUGGAGAGACAGAUGUUGACCGAGUUGAGCAGUAUCUAGAUUCAAUGAAUUUGAGAGUCCAGUGGACCGAUGAGAAGAAAGAGAAUGGGAUCUGCUAGAAGAUCCGUGAGAGAGAAUUGAUUCCGAUUGUGCUGAGGAUAAAUUGGGGAGGUCAACUUCAUAAUUUGAUAGAUGCCUCAGCCUCAGAAGAACGAUAAUAUUCCGUUGUGAGCGACAUGGAGCAGGUGAU
rnacentral:lncRNA from 1 species